rnacentral:misc_RNA from 1 species
UUGUGGAGAAGGACGCCGAAGGUGGGGCUGAUGACUGGGGUGAAGUCGUAACAAGGUAGCCGUACCGGAAGGUGCGGCUGGAUCACCUCCUAACAGGGAGACAAAAAAUUGAUUGUGAUGUCUUUGUAAUUUAUUCUUAGGCCACAAUCCUGUCACCUUAGGUCGAUCGGUACCUCAGAUUUAUGAAUUAUUUUUAUAAUUAAUGAAUAAAUUUCAGUUCCUAAACUUGUCUAGGUCACACCCAACAAGGGUAUCUCCUGGGCCAUUAGCUCAGGUGGUUAGAGCGCACCCCUGAUAAGGGUGAGGUCCCUGGUUCAAGUCCAGGAUGGCCCAUUCGUUGUUGGGGGUAUAGCUCAGUUGGUAGAGCGCCUGCUUUGCAAGCAGGAUGUCAGCGGUUCGAGUCCGCUUACCUCCACUGAAACUACCCUGAUAACUAAUUUUCAGGAGAAAACUUGUAAUUGUGAUUUAGAAUUGUCUAUUUGAAAAGAACCUAGCUUCUUAUCUACUUUUUAUAGUUGAUAACAUGCUGGGCUCUCAUGGAAUGAUUUCCAUGUGAAUUCAGUAGAACCUUGAAAACUGCAUAGUAUGGAAAGAAUAAAGCAUCUCAUGGAUGCAUAAUUCUGGAUUUAAUUUUUAGUUUUAGAACUAAAUUUAUUUUUUUCAGAAUUCAUGUUUAAUUCUUGAGUAAAAGCCGAGCACAAUUAAUUUUGUGAUUGUAUUAAGGUCAAGCUACAA